UACGGAGGGGGCUAGCGUUGUUCGGAAUUACUGGGCGUAAAGCGCACGUAGGCGGAUUGUUAAGUCAGGGGUGAAAUCCUGGAGCUCAACUCCAGAACUGCCUUUGAUACUGACGGUCUUGAGUUCGGGAGAGGUGAGUGGAACUGCGAGUGUAGAGGUGAAAUUCGUAGAUAUUCGCAAGAACACCAGUGGCGAAGGCGGCUCACUGGCCCGAUACUGACGCUGAGGUGCGAAAGCGUGGGGAGCAAACAGGG
rnacentral:rRNA from 1 species